AGUGCAAGUGAUGACAGAAAUAGACAGGGACUCUGCACUCCCAUCUCUGGGUGUUUGAUGACUUCGUCUUUAAUGGGAAUCUCUCUGAUGCACA